rnacentral:rRNA from 1 species
UACAGAGGGGCGCGAGCGUUGUCCGGAAUCACUGGGCGUAAAGGGCGCGUAGGUGGCCACCAUAAGGCCGCGGUGAAAGUUCGGGGCUCAACCCCGGAUCGGCCGCGGCGACUGUGGGGCUCGGGUACUGUAGAGGCAGAUGGAAUUCCGGGUGUAGCGGUGGAAUGCGUAGAGAUCCGGAAGAACACCAGUGGCGAAGGCGGUCUGCUGGGCA